rnacentral:rRNA from 1 species
AUAGCAUAUCAGAAGGCACACCCGGAGAACUGAAACAUCUUAGUACCCGGAGGAAGAGAAAGAAAAUUCGAUUCCCUUAGUAGCGGCGAGCGAAACGGGAAGAGCCCAAACCAACAAGCUUGCUUGUUGGGGUUGUAGGACACUCUAUACGGAGUUACAAAGGACGACAUUAGACGAAUCAUCUGGAAAGAUGAAUCAAAGAAGGUAAUAAUCCUGUAGUCGAAAAUGUUGUCUCUCUUGAGUGGAUCCUGAGUACGACGGAGCACGUGAAAUUCCGUCGGAAUCUGGGAGGACCAUCUCCUAAGGCUAAAUACUCUCUAGUGACCGAUAGUGAACCAGUACCGUGAGGGAAAGGUGAAAAGCACCCCGGAAGGGGAGUGAAAUAGAACCUGAAACCGUGUGCUUACAAGUAGUCAGAGCCCGUUAAUGGGUGAUGGCGUGCCUUUUGUAGAAUGAACCGGCGAGUUACGAUUUGAUGCAAGGUUAAGCAGUAAAUGUGGAGCCGUAGCGAAAGCGAGUCUGAAUAGGGCGUUUAGUAUUUGGUCGUAGACCCGAAACCAGGUGAUCUACCCUUGGUCAGGUUGAAGUUCAGGUAACACUGAAUGGAGGACCGAACCGACUUACGUUGAAAAGUGAGCGGAUGAACUGAGGGUAGCGGAGAAAUUCCAAUCGAACCUGGAGAUAGCUGGUUCUCUCCGAAAUAGCUUUAGGGCUAGCCUCAAGUGAUGAUUAUUGGAGGUAGAGCACUGUUUGGACGAGGGGCCCCUCUCGGGUUACCGAAUUCAGACAAACUCCGAAUGCCAAUUAAUUUAACUUGGGAGUCAGAACAUGGGUGAUAAGGUCCGUGUUCGAAAGGGAAACAGCCCAGACCACCAGCUAAGGUCCCAAAAUAUAUGUUAAGUGGAAAAGGAUGUGGCGUUGCCCAGACAACUAGGAUGUUGGCUUAGAAGCAGCCAUCAUUUAAAGAGUGCGUAAUAGCUCACUAGUCGAGUGACACUGCGCCGAAAAUGUACCGGGGCUAAACAUAUUACCGAAGCUGUGGAUUGUCCUUUGGACAAUGGUAGGAGAGCGUUCUAAGGGCGUUGAAGCAUGAUCGUAAGGACAUGUGGAGCGCUUAGAAGUGAGAAUGCCGGUGUGAGUAGCGAAAGACGGGUGAGAAUCCCGUCCACCGAUUGACUAAGGUUUCCAGAGGAAGGCUCGUCCGCUCUGGGUUAGUCGGGUCCUAAGCUGAGGCCGACAGGCGUAGGCGAUGGAUAACAGGUUGAUAUUCCUGUACCACCUAUAAUCGUUUUAAUCGAUGGGGGGACGCAGUAGGAUAGGCGAAGCGUGCGAUUGGAUUGCACGUCUAAGCAGUAAGGCUGAGUAUUAGGCAAAUCCGGUACUCGUUAAGGCUGAGCUGUGAUGGGGAGAAGACAUUGUGUCUUCGAGUCGUUGAUUUCACACUGCCGAGAAAAGCCUCUAGAUAGAAAAUAGGUGCCCGUACCGCAAACCAACACAGGUAGUCAAGAUGAGAAUUCUAAGGUGAGCGAGCGAACUCUCGUUAAGGAACUCGGCAAAAUGACCCCGUAACUUCGGGAGAAGGGGUGCUCUUUAGGGUUAACGCCCAGAAGAGCCGCAGUGAAUAGGCCCAAGCGACUGUUUAUCAAAAACACAGGUCUCUGCUAAACCGUAAGGUGAUGUAUAGGGGCUGACGCCUGCCCGGUGCUGGAAGGUUAAGAGGAGUGGUUAGCUUCUGCGAAGCUACGAAUCGAAGCCCCAGUAAACGGCGGCCGUAACUAUAACGGUCCUAAGGUAGCGAAAUUCCUUGUCGGGUAAGUUCCGACCCGCACGAAAGGCGUAACGAUUUGGGCACUGUCUCAACGAGAGACUCGGUGAAAUCAUAGUACCUGUGAAGAUGCAGGUUACCCGCGACAGGACGGAAAGACCCCGUGGAGCUUUACUGUAGCCUGAUAUUGAAAUUCGGCACAGCUUGUACAGGAUAGGUAGGAGCCUUUGAAACGUGAGCGCUAGCUUACGUGGAGGCGCUGGUGGGAUACUACCCUAGCUGUGUUGGCUUUCUAACCCGCACCACUUAUCGUGGUGGGAGACAGUGUCAGGCGGGCAGUUUGACUGGGGCGGUCGCCUCCUAAAAGGUAACGGAGGCGCUCAAAGGUUCCCUCAGAAUGGUUGGAAAUCAUUCAUAGAGUGUAAAGGCAUAAGGGAGCUUGACUGCGAGACCUACAAGUCGAGCAGGGUCGAAAGACGGACUUAGUGAUCCGGUGGUUCCGCAUGGAAGGGCCAUCGCUCAACGGAUAAAAGCUACCCCGGGGAUAACAGGCUUAUCUCCCCCAAGAGUUCACAUCGACGGGGAGGUUUGGCACCUCGAUGUCGGCUCAUCGCAUCCUGGGGCUGUAGUCGGUCCCAAGGGUUGGGCUGUUCGCCCAUUAAAGCGGUACGCGAGCUGGGUUCAGAACGUCGUGAGACAGUUCGGUCCCUAUCCGUCGUGGGCGUAGGAAAUUUGAGAGGAGCUGUCCUUAGUACGAGAGGACCGGGAUGGACAUACCUCUGGUGUACCAGUUGUCGUGCCAACGGCAUAGCUGGGUAGCUAUGUGUGGACGGGAUAAGUGCUGAAAGCAUCUAAGCAUGAAGCCCCCCUCAAGAUGAGAUUUCCCAACUUCGGUUAUAAGAUCCCUCAAAGAUGAUGAGGUUAAUAGGUUCGAGGUGGAAGCAUGGUGACAUGUGGAGCUGACGAAUACUAAUCGAUCGAAGACUUAAUCAA